ensembl:lncRNA
CCUACCCCCUUGGGUUGCGGUUUCUUCCUUUAAAUUCCCCUUGUCUUAGCUACUAGGGGUCGAACUCCACUGCCCCUGCAUGGGAUACGAGUCUCGACCCCAGUGCACUGGUUCCUAUCGAUAAACCUCAUGUGAUUACAGCAAAGAUGGUCUUGUGUGAGUUCUUGGGGGGUCAUGUCAUCCCGAGACUUGAGUGAGGGUCUGUCUCCCUGCUCUGGGGGUCUUUCAACACAUGUGGACAGACACAGCUACAGGGACAGAUCCAGUCCCCUAUGACAGUCAGGGGAGGAUGGUAGACACGGGAUGUGAGGUAGAGAAUGCAGAUCUGGACCUGCUGUUGGUUAAAUGAGAGCUGAACACCUACCUAUAUGCAGACAAGGCCUGGCUCGAGUGGUCACAGCAGCCUGAGUGAAAGAUUUUGCAUGGUUGCACUGUAUUCUGUCUGGGCCACCAAAUGUGCCAGGAUUGACGAGUCCAAGGUGCAGGGUUCAAGGGUCAAGACAGAUAUAAAGGAUGUCAGAAAACCUGCUGGGACUAGGGUACAGCUUUGUGAGGGGCUAGCCUUGAAAGCAGAAGGGGCGAGCUUGGUGGCCAGCAUGCACAUAAAAAGCUGGGCUCUUUCCUAUAACUUCAGAUCCAUGCAUGUCAUAGCUCAUUUUCUCAUCUGAUCUGGGAGUUCCCUCCUACUCGCUGUUCAGGGAAAUUGCAUUCAGCCAUAGCUCAUUUUACUGUUAGUCGCUUUCCCCCCUCAAGAUAUGGUUUUCAUGUGUAACAGCUCUGCUGUACUGGAGCUCUUUCUAAGGCCAGGUUGGCCUCAAACUCGGCUCUGUCUGCCUCUGCCUCCUGAGUGCUGUAGCUUAGGGAGUAUGCCGUCCACCGUACGUACCUAGACUAGUCACUCACUUUUAAAUGGUAAAUCUUUCUAAACCUAAACUGUGUUAUAACUGGGUUAACAUAAAAAUCUUAGUACUGGCACUGUCUGUUUGUUUGUUUUAAAGAUUUAUUUAUUUAUAUAUAUAAGUCCACUGUCGCUCUCUUCAGACACACCGGAAGAGGGCAUCAGGUCUCAUUACAGAUGGUCUGGUGCCCUCUUCUGGCCUGUAGUUGCAUACAUGCAGGCAGAAAGCUGUAUGAUGUAUACAUAAUAAAUAAAUAUUUUUUAAAAAAGAGGAAGACAGAAACAUACAAAAAUAGUUUUCUGGGGAA